AUCACUCCUGAAUCCAUCCAUGAAUCCAUCCUUCAAUCCAUGAUUCAUUAGCUCGAUCGAGCUCGUCGCCGGAUUGGAGCUCCAUCCAUGAGUCAGUACUCAGUAGCAGGGGCGGAGCUCUGUAGGGGCUAAACCGGGCCAUGGCCCGCCCAGGAUUUUGACCCAAUUUUUUUUAUAUAGGCAUCUCCCAAGCCCACUAGCCCAGCCCACGUGCAUCCUCUCGCUUUCACGCACAGAGCAGCCUUGCUCAAAAAAACACGCACAGAGCAGCCGGAGAGAGGCAGGCAGCGCUAGGAAUCCCUACUCCCUAAUUCCCAAACUGUCCCACAGUCGAGCAGGGAGCACAGGAGCAAGCCGCUGCCGUCGGCGAACCGACAGCGUCUAUCCUCUCUCGCCGGAAUCCCUGUAUCUCACAGCCACGGUUCAGCCCCUUGCUUUCCUCCCUUCCCCCGACUCUCUGCACCUGCUCACAGAUGACAUCUGCUUGGGCUCGGCCACGCCGUCGUGCUACUGGCCUGCGGCCUGCCGAACCACUUCUGGCGACUGACGCAUGAGCAGAUCACUGGAUGAGCUCUCCUAGUCUCCAGUCUCCUACUGUCCUCCAAGAGUAGAGCAACUGUCAGAAGCAAGAGGUAAUCAUGGGCAAGGAAAAUCAAUCUCAGAGAAGAAUUGAUUUGGUUUUUAAAAGGAAAAGAGAUGACAUAACUCGAGUUCAGGAAAACCAGAUAUUGCCGUUGCUUGAAUUGGAACAACAUAACCAAAACCAGUACGAAUAGGUUCGAGCAAAUGAAGCUGUUACAUUCGAAGGUAUUGAGUUCUUGCAGCGUGCAGCGAGACCCUGGAAGAUGAGAAUCUUGCCAAUAAUCUGUUAGUUCACAUAGAGGGUGGAAUUCUAGAGAACUACAGCCACGAAGAUGUCGUUGCAGAUUUUAGAAGCAAGGGUGACCGGAGAGUCGAUUUGUAGUAUGUGAGUAAGUCACAUGUCUAAUGUCUCAAAGCUUUUGUAUUAGCUAACUUAAUAGUGGUUCAGGGUUAAAAUGUAUUUUGUUGUAUAUAUACAUACUGCUUGCUCCAUCCGGUAAUCAUACUGAUGCUUAUGAUUCAGAAUUUCAAAAAAAAUUGUGCUCUUGUUUA